rnacentral:rRNA from 1 species
GCCCGUGAUCCGGGUCGGGGACAGUGCAUGGUAGGCAGUUUGACUGGGGCGGUCUCCUCCCAAAGCGUAACGGAGGAGUACGAAGGUACGCUAGGUACGGUCGGAAAUCGUGCUGAUAGUGCAAUGGCAUAAGCGUGCUUAACUGCGAGACCGACAAGUCGAGCAGGUGCGAAAGCAGGUCAUAGUGAUCCGGUGGUUCUGUAUGGAAGGGCCAUCGCUCAACGNGAUAGUGCAAUGGCAUAAGCGUGCUUAACUGCGAGACCGACAAGUCGAGCAGGUGCGAAAGCAGGUCAUAGUGAUCCGGUGGUUCUGUAUGGAAGGGCCAUCGCUCAACGGAUAAAAGGUACUCUGGGGAUAACAGGCUGAUACCGCCCAAGAGUUCAUAUCGACGGCGGUGUUUGGCACCUCGAUGUCGGCUCAUCUCAUCCUGGGGCUGUAGCCGGUCCCAAGGGUAUGGCUGUUCGCCAUUUAAAGAGGUACGUGAGCUGGGUUUA